GUGAAGUUCACGUCAUUAUUUCAUGAUGAAGAUAUUUAGAC
rnacentral:tRNA from 1 species